GGGUCAGUAGGUUGGUCGUGCCACCUGUACGUACUGGUCUCACUGAUUCCUCCUUCCUGAAGAAACGUAAUGCCAUUAAUUUGGUGUUGCGGGGAAACAGGACUGUUACUUUGAAAAAAUUAGAGUGUUUAAAGCAAGCUAACGCUUGAAUACAUUAGCAUGGAAUAAUGAAAUAGGACGAUCGAUCCUAUUUUGUUGGUUUCUAGGAUUGACGUA
rnacentral:rRNA from 1 species